UACAGAGGGGGCAAGCGUUGUUCGGAAUUACUGGGCGUAAAGGGCGCGUAGGCGGCCUUCUAAGUCAGACGUGAAAUCCCUCGGCUCAACCGGGGAACUGCGUCUGAUACUGGGAGGCUUGAAUCCGGGAGAGGAAUGCGGAAUUCCAGGUGUAGCGGUGAAAUGCGUAGAUAUCUGGAGGAACACCGGUGGCGAAGGCGGGUCUCUGGACAGUUCCUGACGCUGAGGCACGAAGGCCAGGGGAGCAAACGGG
rnacentral:rRNA from 1 species